CGACAAGGUCCUUUUCCAUGGGGCCCACCUCCCUACGUUAUAUUUCCAUUCCAUCAUGUAAAUCUUCAUGACGUGGCGUUCUCUGGUUGGAUGGAGUUGGAGCGAGAAACCGUUGAUCUAAACCACGAUGGAAACCGAAACCUUACCAAACGGCGGUUAUCUACGCAUCGGGAUAUGUGUGGGAAAUGUUAAUCUGUGCGCAAUCUCAUCUUCAAUUCAACAACCAUAUCAUGUCGCAAUAUUUUAACCUCUUGAUGGUGGGUCCCGAUGUAAAAAGGGUCCAUGGUAAAAACAUGGCAUGGCGCAGACAAUUCUGACAUAUGCGGUA
rnacentral:sRNA from 1 species